AUACGUGAAAUAUCACGCGGCCGGGAUCAAGUCAGGUCCCCGCGACGGGAACCCCCCAUCGCAGUACCUCUACCCAUUUUGCUGCCAAGCAUAUUACUGCAACCCUAAUGUAUCGUGUCAUCCUUGCCUACAUUGGAUGU